AUAUGCAGCUAUCUUAAUUGACCAAGCAUCCAUUUCACUAACUGAACCUAAAGGAAAAUCUGCUAUAUUGACUUGCAAUACUGUAGGCGUUGACCUGGAAAAAAGACCACUUCACUGGUAUCGACAGAAAUCCAAUGAAGGAUUGGAGAAUAUCCUUUACAUAUUUGAAGGAAAAGCCACUUACAGACCAGGGUUUAGCUCUAGCAAGUAUAAGGCUGGUCGUAUUUCAAGUUUGACAAUAGUGAAUAUAAAUGACGAGGACAGCGCUGUGUAUUACUGUGCCUGCUGGGAUACAAGUCACAGUAACACAACUUAGGAAAUACUUCAUACAAAUUUUACCAUACAGAAGACCAACCUUUGAAGGAACCAGAAGUAGCCAUCCUAAAGUCUAGCACCGAACAAGUGGCAAAAAACGGGUUUGCAAUUUAUAUGUGCAAUUUGCAAAAUUUCUUCCCUGGUCUCAUCAAAGUAGUCUGGUAUGAAGGUAAUAGCAAAGAAGAGGUGCAGUCAGAGCAAGGUGAAAUUGAACACAAUAACGUCACAAACACAUAUUCAAUGAGCAGCUGGAUAAAAGUGCCAAAAUCUGACUUGGGAAAGAUGUUUACAUGCAAGUACAAACAUGACACAACCAAAGAAGGCUGGAAAAUGGAAUAUGUCUCAGGAAAUGAAUAUAAUCUAGAGAUUUUUAAGGAAGAGUCCAUUUACAAGGCAUGCAAUCAAGGUUUGCCGAGUUUUAAUCGCAUGAUGUACCGAGCAGCACAAGUUACCUAUGCUAUGCUAAUCUUGAAGAGCUUAAUAUAUUCACCGAUUUUGAUUUUCAUUAGGUACAAAACCAACCCAUAAAUUUCUCAAAGCAGACAAAGGUUUUUGGGAAACAAUUAUGCAGAAAAACAUGCUUAAUUUGUUUUUACUUUUAAGUUUAUUGUGAUUUACUUUUUUUACUGACACAUUUACUAUU